GUCUAACAUUAGAUACCCGUGUAGUCCCAGCCGUAAACUAUGCGCGUUAGGUGUAUCGGUGACCACGAGUCACCGAGGUGCCGAAGGGAAACCGUGAAACGUGCCGCCUGGGAAGUACGGUCGCAAGGCUGAAACUUAAAGGAAUUGGCGGGGAGCACCACAACGGGUGGAGCCUGCGGUUUAAUUGGACUCAACGCCGGGAAGCUCACCGGAUAAGACAGCGGAAUGAUUGCCGGGCUGAAGACUCUGCAUGACUAGCUG
rnacentral:rRNA from 1 species